rnacentral:rRNA from 1 species
UACGAAGGGGGCGAGCGUUGUUCGGAUUUACUGGGCGUAAAGGGCGCGCAGGCGGCUCAUUUUGUCAGGCGUGAAAGCCCCGGGCUUAACCUGGGAACUGCGUUUGAUACGGAUGGGCUAGAGUUCGGGAGAGGAGAGUGGAAUUCCCAGUGUAGAGGUGAAAUUCGUAGAUAUUGGGAAGAACACCGGUGGCGAAGGCGGUUCUCUGGGCCUGUACUGACGCUGAGGAGCGAAAGCGUGGGGAGCGAACAGG